GAUGAACGCUGGCGGCGUGCCUAAUACAUGCAAGUCGAGCGAACAGACGAGGAGCUUGCUCCUCAGACGUUAGCGGCGGACGGGUGAGUAACCCGUGGAUAACCUACCUAUAAGACUGGGAUAACUUCGGGAAACCGGAGCUAAUACCGGAUAAUAUAUUGAACCGCAUGGUUCAAUAGCGAAUGACGGUUUUGCUGUUACUUAAAGAUGGAUCCGCGCCGCAUUAGCUAGUUGGUAAGGUAACGGCUUACCAAGGCAACGAGGCAUAGCCGACCUGAGAGGGUGAUCAGCCACACGGGAACUGAGACGCGCUCCAGACUCCUACGGGAGGCACCAGUAGGGAACCUUCCGCAAUGGGCGGAAGCCUGACGGACCAACGCCGCGUGAGUGAUGAAGGUCUUCGGAUCGUAAAACUCUGUUAUUAGGGAAGAACAAAUGUGUAAGUAACUAUGCACGUCUUGACGGUACCUUAUCAGAAAGCCACGGCUAACUACGUG
rnacentral:rRNA from 1 species